rnacentral:lncRNA from 1 species
AAAGCGCCAGCGGUUGUGCUCCCAGGGAUCUGAUUGCAAUUCGUUUUAUCUCAGAUUGGUCCCUGAUCUUCUUUCGUCCGUAUCUUUUUGCUCCGGACUCCGAUUGGGGUGAUUCCAAAGCCCACGUCUUCGUCUCGUCGAUCCCGUCAUGAUGGUAUCAUUUUCACAGGGUGGUGACACAGUGAAAAUCACCAUUUUGCCCUUGACUCCAAUGAGCCCCCUUCGAGAGAGAUCUGUUCCGGCGAUCCUUUCUCCGGACUCUCCGCACCUCUUCCGGGAGUAUUCUUCGAUCCCAGGCAAGCCGACCAUCUGAUAUAUGCCCUAAAGCAUUGCUCUGUGUUCUUCGUGCAUGAUUACAUUAAUAUGCUUGCGAUUGCAUGCGUAGUAGUGGACUGUAUGAGAUACUGACGAACCCUUGCUCACAUUUUCUUCGAUGAUGGCACCACACCCGAGUCUGAGCUUCUUUCGGCCAUCCGGGGUGGGUGCCAACUUUAUAUUUCUCUUGUCAGUCGUUGACUCGUGUUCUGAGCUGCUUCUCGACCGUCGCGGGUAGGUGUUGAAUUUCUUUCCGUGGCAGUGACCCUAUGCUCUGAGCUGAUCUUCGGUCUUCUUAGGGAACUGCCACAUUCUUCUUAUCAACACCGCCUCAUGCUGUGAGCUGCUUUCCAGCCGUCUUGAGUCGGGGUUGAGUUAUUCUGGUAACGUCCCACAUCUAUGUUGUAAAGACCGUUCUGGUGGCUACCGAUUUAAUUGUCGGUUUUAUGCGAGGGUUUCGAGGGUCUACUUUAAAGUCAGAUCUUGUAAAGUAAUAACCUGUUAUUUACAUAGUGUCUUAUUAAUGACUCAUAAUAUAGAGAUAGGUUGUGAUGUUUCUUCCGUUGUUAUUUCAUGCCUAAUCAUCAUCAUGUUAAGUCAUUCUUGACAACACCCAUGAUUGAUAAAUAUGUUGGUUAAACCAAACCUAACGAGUUGAUCUCUGAGUCACCUGUCUAGGCUUAUCCGUGCAACCACAUUUGCCGAUAUGGGACUACCGUGACUUGAGUUGUUCGCGUGAUUGCUCUCACCGGUACCUCCAAAGAUGGAGGGUUAUGCACGCGCGCUGACCCUGAUCAGGUAGGCGGUGAUAACCCUGUGAGCCCAGUUAAGUUGAGUUGGGCCCGUCCCCGGUUGGGACAGUUUUGUUUGGCCACGAUGGUGGCAGGUGUCAUGAGGACACAACUGUCGUGAGGACACACGACCACCUAGGGCAAGACUCCAGAGGAGAGUGGUUGCCGGUGGUACGAUGAGAGGGUCACGGUUCAGGCAAGUUUCGUUGGAGUAAUAUUGGUCCACCCGAAUGGGAUCACGAGGUCAGUACUCCAGAGUGUGGGUAAAGUGUGCAACCUCUGCUGAGUGUCAAAUCUAUUCGAAUAGCCGAGCCCACGGUAUUGGACAGCCCUACGAGACCUCAGUAGGUGAUCAACCAUAAGAGUGAUGAUAACGAUGGAAGAACUCAUCUUGUGCAGACAUCGGAAGAUGUCCGGUAUAUGACAUGUUAGCCACGGAAUGGCUAUGAGAUGAGUGGUCGGAUGACCACAUGUGUAGACACCAGAAGAUGUCCGGUAUUGGACAUGUUAGCCAUGGGAUGGCUAUGAGAUGAGUGGUUGGAUGACCACAUGAGUUGGAUUGGAUCAGAUUCAGACUGGAUCAUGAGAAUAGUCGGAGUAUAAUUCAUUUACCUAAUGUGCUUUACUUUACCGCAUUUACUUUAGAAGUUAUUUUGCUAGAUGACCCUGUUAUACCUUGAUAAUUAACAUUGCUCGAUAGAUAUGCUAUGCCAUGAUGAUUUAUAUUGUUCUAAUAACAAAUACAUGCUUGAAUGCCAUGGGUUGCUGUGCUUAGUGUAUAUGUUAGUUUGGUUUGCUUGUGAGUACAUUCAAAAGUACUCAGCGGCUUUUAACGUGGCCAGGUUCACAUAAGGAUGCGUCGUAUGCAAGGAACUGGAGCGUUCGCAGGCUAGGAGCGUAACCGAGUCAGAUCCCUGUGGAUUGGAGCUGCAUCGAGACCAUGUUGCCUUAGAUAGAGCUUUUCCG